rnacentral:rRNA from 1 species
UACGUAGGGUGCAAGCGUUGUCCGGAAUUAUUGGGCGUAAAGAGCUCGUAGGCGGUUUGUCGCGUCGAAUGUGAAAACCCGGGGCUCAACCCCGGGCCUGCAUUCGAUACGGGCAGACUAGAGUUCGGUAGGGGAGUCUGGAAUUCCUGGUGUAGCGGUGAAAUGCGUAGAUAUCGAGAGGAACACCUGCGGCGAAGGCGGGUUGCUGGGCCGACACUGACGCUGAUGCGCGAAAGCCAGGGGAGCGAACGGG